GUUGGAGCCAGGAUCCACCUCUUCCCAGACCUUCUUUGAUUCUAUGAUCUCAUUUAAAGGUUGGUAGAAGAGAUAACUUGCUGGAAGUCCCUGCCCACCUAAGGCCUUCCAAGGGAACUCCAGGCUGAUGCAGAGAAGGGCAGGGGAAAAUUGCCUCCCGGAUGGGGUAUAUGGCAAGAGCAGGGGUUUGACAGCGAAGAAGGAGGUUGAAGGAAGUCAGAAGUGUUUCAGCCUCUUGAAUUUUUCUGGUGCCUGGAAGCCUGCUCACUUCCACCUACCAUCUUUCACCACUGCCCAUAGCCACCUGAGGUUCAUGUAUGUUACAACAUCAGGCAUGAGCUGUGCUCCAGCACACGCUGACAAGAACAGUCUGAGAAGACUGGCUACAGAAGGCAUUACCUGCCAUGUAAAGGAAAACUGUAGUUGCAGCUGCUCCCUCCCCCCGUUUGGAAGUUUUACAUGCUAAGAGUCAUCAGCCAGCCUUGCCUUUAAAUCAAAUCUUUCCAUGCAGCCUGGAUGGAAAUCUAGCAAGUACAGCAGCUGUCUACUCUUAGCAAGGAGAAAAGCAACAUGUUUCUUCAGCCACUGGCUAGGGAAUUCCUGCUCAAAGAAGAGGGCUACGCCUUGUCUGAUGCCUUUAUAAAGUCAUAGGAAACAGUUUCCUGCGGGCUUUCACAGAUAGUGCUAAUCAUCUUAAACUGAAACAGGGCUUCCAAAAACAGCAUGUAAAUCCCCAUAACACACCUUCAAUUUCUGUCUCCAAGGCUACCCAGCUGCCCUGAUCCUCUGUGUUAGGCUCAAAAUGCCAUGAUGCUUCCUUUUGAACUAUUCCUUGCCCGCUUCUCAAGCCCUCUUUUCUCCCAGACCUCCCCACAGCCAGGAGCCCCACUAGCUUGCCUUGCUUGCUGGGGACAAGGAUUCACAGCAUUGCUGCCCCGUGCUGGGUGAUGAGCAGUGGGACAUCUGCGUGGCAGGGGAUACAAGGCUCUCUGCUGUCCUGCAGCUGAGUGAAACUGAUUUCCACAGGGGCACAAGAAGAGCUGCAUGGUCCUGCCCUGCCCAGUUGUGCUCACCCAUCUGCACAAAGGCUGGGUCUAAAGGGCUCUUUAAAACCAUGUUAAUAGCAUUUUUCAUGCUGCUUUUAGUGAACCUCCUCAUUCUGCUCUCAGCCAUGCAGUUCAUGAAUAGCAGCUAUUCCCCGGUCAGGGAAGCACAUUUUGGGGGACACAGUAUACAUAGCCUUGUUGGACAUUUUUCAGUGAUUUUACAUGCAGAUACUGCCUUCUCACAGCAAGCCAAAUUCUGCCCUCUCCUGAAGUCUCUUGGGUCUAAAUUAGUGAGACUUUAUAUAUAUCGUGAUUUGAAUCUGAAUGUGCUUCCUUGCUUGCGAUCCCUGUGGUCACAGAGCAGGCAAGGAGACUUUGUGCUGUAGUUUACCUUGCCAUAAGCAGGCUUUUUCAGUCAUCUUGGUGAGCGCAUUCCCUGCGUUGCCAACGCGGGAGCAUUUUCUGCAGGAUGCAGGAUUUGCAAAGGCACAGAUGUAUGGGGCAGUGUCCCAUCAGCAUGCAGAAUCACCCAGCUAAUGGAUCAUCUCACAUCUUCUCUGAGAAGAUAGCACCUGAGGUCCCUCCCAAAACAUUCCCCAGGACUCGUAGGAGUGCUGGAUGAGGCAUUUGUGCUGCAGACACCCCCAAAGCACUGCAGAGUCAAGAGAAUGAUGCCAGACUAGAAUCAAUGAGGCCUUAUGCGGGCACUCAAGAAUAACAAGCCAACCAGUGGAUUUGCAGGCAGACUGUAACAGCUUGUUAUCUGAUGUCCCCUGGGCACAAACACUGAGACAUCUGCAGUUUUGACCCGUUUUUUCCCUCUGCUGGCUCAAUAGCUAGCUAGCCAGUCAUCCAAAGUGGAAACAAAACAGAGGGAAGAAGAGAACGCAUGCCAGUAAGCAGGAGAAGCUGGAAAUAUUGGGGCGCCAAAAGGACUGGAAAUAAAAUAAGAACACUGGUUUCUUUGCUCUCCUUUAUUAUUUGUGCAUCAAGCUCUCUGAGUUUGUUUCUGGAACUCUGUUGAAAGCUUGCUAGUUGUCACUGAACUUUUAUGUUGGUUUAUUUUGCAUGUAUUUUGCAUCUCCAAUCUCUUUGUUCAGCACUGCAAGAUAAAAAUGAACCUGAACAACACACAUGGGGACUUCAUCAAUUGUCUCUGGUCCUUAUAAUCUCUUUCCCUUCUAUCAGAGGCCAGGAGGAGCCCCAGAGCAGGCUGCCGGGUCCUUGGAAAAGAGAUCCUUGGAGCACAGCAGCCAUGCCAGCUAACACUGUGCUUCCCUGUUUUCAGGCUGUUGUUACUAAAGAGUGUGCCCAGAUAGUCUGAAGGGGUCAUGAACACCAGCCUCAGCCUAAUCUUCUAAUUAACUCCUGUUAAUGUAAGUGCACUCGAGAAGAUUCUUUCAGCCACGCUGCUCAAGAAAUUAGAAGUCCUCUCUCAAAGAAACAGUGUGUUUCUUCUUUCGUAGUCCAGCAUGAUAACACCAUCUUCCUGCAUGAGAAGGAUUUGCCUCAUCCUAUGGUGCUCAUUUCUCAUCCCUGGAUUACAGUUUAUUUUAAAUCAACUCAGGAUAAUAGGUGGCAGCUCAGUGUAUACUAUCUGCAGCAUGUUUUAGCCUUGCAAAGGCAGAGGCCUCCUGGUUUCUCGGUUCUCUAAUUUCUGCACCUUGGAAAAGCCUAAAGAUUGGGGUGUGUGCCUUGCAAUGAUAGGUAAUGCUCUGGGACCUAUCAGAGAAACAUGCUGCUGCUGCUGCUGCUGCUGGUGCUGCUUCUCUUUUAACCUGAUGCAGCCUCAUCGCAUGGAUGCUCCGCUCAUUGCAGUCAAGGUUAGAAAGGGAUUUGAGCCUCUUACUGAUGUGGAAAGAAAGCAGUCCCAUAGGUAGAAACACGAAGAAUAGCUGAGCUCAGACUGACCUCAGGAAAAAAACAAAGCAAGUUUUCACAAUGGAGUGUAGCUGGACUGCACUGAGAGAAUGAAUGUGGGGCAGGAUGAGAAUUGUACCUGCCUGUGUUAUAAGCAGAGACUCUGCAGCUCUCCUGACGUCAAUUUUGCCUAGGAGAAUCCAUCUGAAAAUAAACAAAUACCAACAGAAAUGCUUCUAUUGUUUUCUUUCUCUGUUGGUAAUAAAAACUAUUCCUUUAAAAAAGAGCAAUAUCCUCCCCUAUGAUUUUUGCAGUCACAACACAGAAAUGGAGAAAACCUGAAAGCACAAUUGACUCCUUUUGAUUUUUCCUAUUUCAAGAGAGAAGACAUGCCAGCGGGAAAGAGAACAAAAAUCACACUGAGUAAAUCUGGAAUUUAAACUGCCACCAGUGAUCAACAGCAACCAUCCAAAUAUUUAUUUCUUCUUCUACGGUUUCUUUCUGCUUAAGCUGAUCAGCAGAUCUUUAAUUUGAUAUUCAGUCAUCAUUACAUAAAAACAUGUAUCUUUUAGGUCGUUUCUUUAAUUAUUCACUUCUGCAGGAAUUCAGAUGGCAAGAUUCAGGGGAUAAUUUAGUCACGUACCGCCUUAGUAUGCAGCUUCUCUUCAAUAAU